rnacentral:lncRNA from 1 species
CUUAGAACAACAGCACACAUCUGCUUCCACUGUUCUCUUCAGAACAACAGAAAACAUCUGACUUCAGAACAUCUGUAUUGGUCUCCUCUGACUUCCACUGUUCUCUUCAGAACAACAGAAAACAUCUUGACUUCCACUGUUCUCUUCAGAACAACAGCACCAUCUGACAUCCACUGUUCUCUUCAGAAACACAGCACACAUCUGACUUCACUGUUCUCUUCAGAACAACAGAAAACAUCUGACUUCAGAACAUCUGUAUUGGUCUCCUCUGACUUCCACUGUUCUCUUCAGAACAACAGCACACAUCUGACUUCCACUGUUCUCUUCAGAACAACAGCACACACUGACUUCCACUGUUCUCUUCAGAAACAACAGCACACAUUGACUUCCACUGUUCUCUUCAGAACAUCUGUAUUGGUCUCCUCCAACUUCCACUGUUCUCUUCAGAACAACAGAACACAUCUGACUUCCACUGUUCUCUUCAGAAGAACAGCACACAUCUGACUUCCACUGUUCUCUUCAGAAACCUCGUUAUGGUUCCUCCAACUUCCACGUGUCUCUUCAGAACAACAGAACACAUCUGACAUCCACCGUUCUCUUCAGAACAACAGAACACAUCUGACAUCCCCUGUUCUCUUCAGAACAACCGAACAAUCUGACUUCCACUGUUCUCUUAGAACAACAGAACACAUCUGACUUCCACUGUUUCUUCAGAACACAGAACACUUCUGACUUCCACUGUUCUCUCAGAACAACAGAACAACUCUGACUUCCACUGUUCUCUUCAGAACAACAGAACACAUCUGACUUCCACUGUUUUCUUCAGAACAACAGAACACAUCUGACUUCCACUGUUCUCUCAGAACAACAGACACAUCUGACUUCCACUGUUCUCUUCAGAACACAGAACACAUCUGACUUCCACUGUUCUCUUCAGAAAACCUAACACAUCAGCUGUUCUCUUCAGAACAACAGAACAACACAUCUGACUUCCACUGUUCUCUUCAGAACAACAGAAACAUCUGACUUCCACUGUUCUCUUCAGAACAACCAUCACACUCAGCUGUUCUCUUCAGAACAACAGAACACAUCUGUAUUGGUCUCCUCUGACUUCCACCGUUCUUUUCCCCUCUUCUUUUGAAUGGUUGAAGGAUGGAGGAUAGAUAGAAGCUUGUCCAGUUUGGUCCAACUAUUCACCUACACAGGGAUAUUAGAAUCCUGUAAUGACGCUGGGAGCUGGCGUCUGCUGUUACCCUUCUAGACCAGCCUGCAAUGCACCCCUCUAUGGAUACAUUUGGUUUUGGCUGAUUGGUUCCCCUUUGUGUGUCUACCAUUGCCUAUCAUAAGUGCCACUCCUCUCCGCUGUGCAUGUAUAAGCAUCAUGGAAGGUCAGAGUUCACUGCUGAUUUUUGAAGAGCGGACGGGCAUCGAGAGUCCAGGUUGCUACGACUAAAGCAGCUCUCUCUUCUCCUUCGGAACAUUAAAAUUAUUCUACCCCUGCAACCGUCCCAGUAAAGAUUGAGAGAGUCCACUAUCUUUACAGAUCAGCCUAUGAAACGUGUAACACCCACAUCAUACCCACAAGUAAGCUAUAUACAUAUACAUAUAUAGAUAUAUAUAUAUAUAUAUAAAACAUGUUUAUUUUUUUGCUCUGUCACUCUUAUAUAAUAAAUUGACAUAUAUAGUCCAACCAUAAAGAUUACUGAGUGUCGAAAAAAUAUUAUUCUGUACUUUGGCUAAGAUUUAUAAAUCAUGAGACUGAACUACAUCAAAAUAAAUGGUGUGAAGUGUAUGUAUCUUAAAGCUUUGCUUUAAAACAAUUCACUGCAUUACUUUGUUUAUGUUAUGAGUCUUUGUAUAAAGCAUCCUUUGGUAUGGGGGAGAAAGAGCGUCUAGCAAAGUUCUUUGUUGCAGAAUUGUGCCAACAUUUUAAAAAAACAUGUCAAAAUAAACCUGCCUAAAAUGGAAUGGCCAGAGUGAAGCACUUACACUUCAUAUGAAAUAUCAAUGCACCUAUGUGUAGCUGUGUGUUCACCGCAUGUUUGGAGGCCAGAUAUUCUUUCCGUGACUACUUCCUCUAUCUAACAUCGCAGGUUUAGUGAAGCACCACCGAAUUAAAAUCUUAAGCAAUUAGUCAUGUUGUUAUGUAGGGCCUACUGCCCUCAUGUGGUGAACCAACGUUUGACCACCCAUUGUGUUUUUACUCCGGCGUUUUAACUGUGAUUUCAAUAAUGACCUUCAAUGGACCAGCGAAACUCAAAUGGCU